GAUUUCUGACUUGAUGCACCUGUCCCGCUACGGUAACGUAUGUGAGUGACGGAGUGUGUCAGUCAUCCUUCUAGAUAAGGUUCGCUGUCCUUUACUGGGUGGCGAAUCCCAUCUAGAUCGUUUACUUUGAAAAAAUUAGAGUGUUUCAAGCAGGCUUUAUGCUAUGAAUACAUUAGCAUGGAAUAAUGAGUUAGGACUUCGGUUCUAUUUUGUUGGUUUCUAGGGCUGAAGUAAUGAUUGAUAGGGAUAGUUGGGGGUGCUAGUAUUCAGUGGCCAGAGGUGAAAUUCUUGGAUUCACUGAAGACUAACUUAUGCGAAAGCAUU
rnacentral:rRNA from 1 species